rnacentral:rRNA from 1 species
AUGAAGUUCCUUCGGGGAUGGAUUAGUGGCGAACGGGUGAGGAACACGUGAAGAAUCUGCCCUCCACUUUGGGAUAACUCCGGGAAACCGGGGCUAAUACCGAAUAUUGAAACAUAAGUGGCAUCACUGAGUUUUGAAAGAAUUUCGGUGGAGGAUGACUUCGCGGCCUAUCAGCUUGUUGGUGAGGUAAUGGCUCACCAAGGCGACGACGGGUAGCCGGCCUGAGAGGGCGACCGGCCACACUGGGACUGAGACACGGCCCAGACUCCUACGGGAGGCAGCAGUGGGGAAUAUUGGGCAAUGGACGAAAGUCUGACCCAGCGACGCCGCGUGCGGGAUGAAGGCCUUCGGGUUGUAAACCGCUUUCAGCAGGGAAGAAGCGAAAGUGACGGUACCUGCAAAAGAAGCACCGGCUAACUAUGUGCCAGCAGCCGCGGUAAUACAUAGGGUGCAAGCGUUGUCCGGAAUUAUUGGGCGUAAAGAGCUCGUAGGUCGUUAAUUACGUCGGGUGUGAAAAUCUGGGGCUCAACCCCAGACCUGCACUCGAUACGGGUUAGCUAGAGUUUGGUAGGGGAGACUGGAAUUCCUGGUGUAGCGGUGGAAUGCGCAGAUAUCAGGAGGAACACCAAUG